GAAAUGCGAUACGUAAUGUGAAUUGCAGAAUUCCGUGAAUCAUCGAAUCUUUGAACGCACCUUGCGCCUCUUGGUAUUCCGAGGGGCAUGCCUGUUUGAGUGUCAUGAAACCAUCAACGAGGACCUUUCUUUUCGGAGAGAGGCUUUCUUGUUGGAUUGUGGAGUGUGCUGGCUUGUUCAGCUCCUCUGAAAUGCAUUAGCGAUGUGGUGUUCCACCUGCUUGAGCUUGCAUUGGCAUUGAUAGUCAUUCAUGUCAGAGUAGUUCAGCUGUGGAAAGGUUCACUUGCUCCUAAUCGUGAUGGACUCUCUCCAUCCUUUGACCCAUAUAACCUCAAAUCAGGCAGGACUACCCGCUGAACUUAA
rnacentral:misc_RNA from 1 species